rnacentral:rRNA from 1 species
CCUACGGGAGGCAGCAGUGGGGGAUAUUGCACAAUGGGGGAAACCCUGAUGCAGCGACGCCGCGUGGGUGAAGAAGCGCCUCGGCGCGUAAAGCUCUGUUCGCAGGGAAGAAAAUGACGGCACCUGCAGAAGAAGCCCCGGCUAACUACUUGCCAGCAGCCGCGGUAAUACGUAGGGGGCAAGCGUUAUCCGGAUUUACUGGGUGUAAAGGGGGCGCAGACGGCGAUGCAAGCCAGGAGUGAAAGCCCAGGGCCCAACCCCGGGACUGCUCUUGGAACUGCGUGGCUAGAGUGCAGGAGGGGCAGGCGGAAUUCCUGGUGUAGCGGUGAAAUGCGUAGAUAUCAGGAGGAACACCAGUGGCGAAGGCGGCCUGCUGGACUGCAACUGACGUUGAGGCCCGAAAGCGUGGGGAGCAAACAGGAUUAGAUACCCGAGUAGUC